rnacentral:rRNA from 1 species
CAGUAACGGCGAGUGAAGCGGCAAGAGCUCAAAUUUGAAAGCUGGCUCCUUCGGGGUCCGCAUUGUAAUUUGCAGAGGAUGCUUCGGGAGCGGUCCCCAUCUAAGUUCCCUGGAACGGGACGUCAUAGAGGGUGAAAAUCCCGUAUGGGAUGGGGUGUCCGCGCCCGUGUGAAGCUCCUUCGACGAGUCGAGUUGUUUGGGAAUGCAGCUCUAAAUGGGUGGUAAAUUUCAUCUAAAGCUAAAUAUUGGCCGGAGACCGAUAGCGCACAAGUAGAGUGAUCGAAAGAUGAAAAGCACUUUGAAAAGAGAGUUAAAAAGCACGUGAAAUUGUUGAAAGGGAAGCGCUUGCGACCAGACUCGCUCGCGGGGUUCAGCCGGCAUUCGUGCCGGUGUACUUCCCCGCGGGCGGGCCAACGUCGGUUUGGGCGGUCGGUCAAAGGCCCUCGGAAGGUAACGCCCCCAGGGGCGUCUUAUAGCCGAGGGUGCAAUGCGACCUGCCUAGACCGAGGAACGCGCUUCGGCUCGGACGUUGGCAUAAUGGUCGUAAGCGACCCGUCUUGAAACACGGACCAAGGAGUCUAACAUCUACGCGAGUGUUCGGGUGUCAAACCCGUGCGCGCAGUGAAAGCGAACGGAGGUGGGAACCCUUUGGGUGCACCAUCGACCGAUCCUGAUGUCUU